rnacentral:rRNA from 1 species
CCUGACCCCAUCCCGAACUCAGAAGUGAAACGCGUCAUCGCCGAUGGUAGUGUGGGGCUUCCCCAUGUGAGAGUAGGUCAUCGCCAGGC